CUGCACUACUACUUUACAUAAUUUUAGUGUCACGCCCCGGAUUACUCGUUUUCCCGAGCACGCCCACAGAUCCGCAGUAUACGUAAAAAUUUUUCCUGUAUACGAAGCGAUAGCUGUACCUGUACUUGUACCUGUGAUCAUACAAUACUACAACCAGUAGUAUAGAGCUGCUAAAAAGAACAAUAUAUAUAAAUAAAACUGGUUCAACAUACAUACAUACAAUCCUGAUAUACAAAAUCACUCACUCCAGUGAUUUACAAAUAUCAGUAUGUAUAAGAACAAAAAACUAUAACUACCUGUAACUCG
rnacentral:lncRNA from 1 species